rnacentral:rRNA from 1 species
UUGCAGGCCUAAACAUGCAAGUCGAGCGAUGAAGCUUCCUUCGGGAAGUGGAUUAGCGGCGGACGGGUGAGUAACACGUGGGUAACCUGCCUCAAAGUGGGGGAUAGCCUUCCGAAAGGAAGAUUAAUACCGCAUAACAUAAGAGAAUCGCAUGAUUUUCUUAUCAAAGAUUUAUUGCUUUGAGAUGGACCCGCGGCGCAUUAGCUAGUUGGUAAGGUAACGGCUUACCAAGGCAACGAUGCGUAGCCGACCUGAGAGGGUGAUCGGCCACAUUGGAACUGAGACACGGUCCAGACUCCUACGGGAGGCAGCAGAAC